rnacentral:misc_RNA from 1 species
GAGAAUAUGGAACUAAGGUUGUAUGUGGCAUCUGAAUGUUUUGGACUAAAUGUUGUGUUUAUCAUUAUGGCUUUUUAACAGGCCUGUGUACAAUGUAUGCAUGCUUUAUGUAUGCUAUUCUAAGCUGUUUGAUGGCUGUCUCGCUUAUUUUUGAUACUCUGCAUGAAAUUUUCAAAUUCUUUUUAUAAAUGAAAUUUAACUUUUUACCACUUUUACUAGUAAAUUUUGCUCAAAGUAUCCUGAAAUAUUUGAACAAAUACAUUUUUCCAAAUUUUUGAAUAAUUUUUUUGAUUUGCUACAUAACUUUCAGUGAUUAUUGCUUGAUUUUGAAUCUGUUCUAUUUGUGAUUGAUUGAAUAAAAUAUGUAGCAAAAAAGCUACUCUCUCACAAACAUUUGUGUUUGAACAUGUGCCUGCCUUCUCUGUCACAUAAAUGCACAAAAUAAUUUGGGAAAAAAAAUCAGGAAUAGAUGAUUAGGAGUGUUAGCUUCAACUUU